UGCGUAGACGGUUAUGCAAGUUGGUAGCGUAAUCCCGGGGGCUUAACUCCGGAACUACUACCAAAACUGUAUGGCUUGAGUGCGGUAGGGGUAUGUGGAAUUCCUAGUGUAGCGGUGGAAUGCGUAGAUAUUAGGAGGAACACCAGAGGCGAAAGCGACAUACUGGGCCGUAACUGACGUUGAGGCACGAAAGCGUGGGGGAGCAAACA
rnacentral:rRNA from 1 species